GAUGAUCUUGACAUUGUUGCUUGGUUGGACUCCCGUUCACGCUGCGCCUAAAUAUGCGUCUUUGUCAUUAUCAGUAGUGCUUCCGGAGUGAGGGCAGUGCUGGUGUUGAAGAGUCGGCCCUUGAUCCUUAAUCUGCACAGUGCACAUUCUUUCGUCGAUCGGCCACCAACCGAUCACGUGCCGGUAGCCAUCAAGAAUAAUACUUAAAUAAAUUCAACCAGUUACUUGGGAUGGCCCCUUUAAUUCAUUCAGCAUUUUGCUUUUCGAUUCAAACAAAUUGUGCUAAAUUGGAAUCUAAAGUUCAUCAGUCGAUCAAUUAUUCAAUUAUUCAUCUUACUAUAUUUACAGGCUACAUUGUCCUCGUAUCUGCCAGAACGCCAGAAAAUUUGUUUCUCACGUCAUCCUACACCAAACAAAAACGACAUCCCGCAGUCAUGCUUUACAGCUUUCGUUCAUUUCAUCUCACCCUACAGCAGCCGCCGCAGCCGCUCACCAACAACAUCCGAAAAGGUGACAACCAAAGUCGGUUUUAUUUGUAAUCGUUUAGCCAAAUCGAGAGCUCCUAAAUGGACUGGAGCUGUUGGAUGACGAUGGAUGAUGGUCUCACAAAGGGGACCCCAGCUACAUACAGAGCUGAAAAAGAAUGUCCCUCCUGAUCCGGCAGAAGCAGUAACACAUUUUUAUCUUGCACCCAGUGAAGAGGCUCGGAUAAGCCGAAAUUUAUAACGAUCUGCCUUAUCCACAGCUUAAAGCGGACGUAACGAACACAAAGCUCCCACAGGAAGGCACUAAAAAG